rnacentral:rRNA from 1 species
ACACUCCUGCGGGAGGCAGCAGUGGGGAAUAUUGGACAAUGGGCGCAAGCCUGAUCCAGCCAUGCCGCGUGAGUGAUGAAGGCCCUAGGGUUGUAAAGCUCUUUCACCGGUGAAGAUAAUGACGGUAACCGGAGAAGAAGCCCCGGCUAACUUCGUGCCAGCAGCCGCGGUAAUACGAAGGGGGCUAGCGUUGUUCGGAUUUACUGGGCGUAAAGCGCACGUAGGCGGACUAUUAAGUCAGGGGUGAAAUCCCGGGGCUCAACCCCGGAACUGCCUUUGAUACUGGUAGUCUUGAGUUCGAGAGAGGUGGGUGGAAUUCCGAGUGUAGAGGUGAAAUUCGUAGAUAUUCGGAGGAACACCAGUGGCGAAGGCGGCUCACUGGCUCGAUACUGACGCUGAGGUGCGAAAGCGUGGGGAGCAAACAGGAUUAGAUACCCGUGUAGUCC